rnacentral:rRNA from 1 species
GGCUGAAAUUACGCCUUCCAUGAAGCUGGAAUUGCUAGUAAUGGCAGGUCAGCAUACUGCCGUCGAAUAACGUUCCCGGGGCCCUUGUACACACCGCCCGUCACACCAUGAGAGUUGGAAAUACCCGAAGCCUGUGAGCUAACUUAAAGAGGCAGCAGUCGAAGGUAGAGCCAAUGAUUGGGGUGAAGUCGUAACAAGGUAAC